AACGGCCGUACCAUGCUGAAUAUACCGGUUCUCAUUAGAUCACCGAAGUCAAGCAUCAUUGGGCACGGUCAGUACUUGGGUGGGUGACCACCUGGGAUCACCGCGUGCCGUU
rnacentral:rRNA from 1 species